GCUCAAAUUUGUAAUCUGGCGUCCUUCGGGCGUCCGAGUUGUAAUCUAUAGAAGUGUUUUCCGUGCCGGACCAUGUCCAAGUCCCUUGGAACAGGGUAUCAAAGAGGGUGACAAUCCCGUACUUGACAUGACCACCGGUGCUCUGUGAUACACUUUCUACGAGUCGAGUUGUUUGGGAAUGCAGCUCAAAAUGGGUGGUAAAUUCCAUCUAAAGCUAAAUAUUGGCGAGAGACCGAUAGCGAACAAGUACCGUGAGGGAAAGAUGAAAAGCACUUUGGAAAGAGAGUUAAACAGUACGUGAAAUUGUUGAAAGGGAAACGAUUGAAGUCAGUCGUGUUCUUUGGACUCAGCCGGUUCUUCCGGUCUAUUUCCUUUGAACGGGUCAACAUCAGUUUUGUCCGGUGGAUAAAGGCAGGAAGAAAGUGGCUCCCUCGGGAGUGUUAUAGCUUUCUGUCACAUACACUGGAGGAGACUGAGGACUGCAGCUCGCCUUUUGGCCGGGGUUCGCCCACGUUCGAGCUUAGGAUGUUGACAUAAUGGCUUUAAA
rnacentral:rRNA from 1 species